CGAGGCAGAGGUGUGUGACGAUGAUUCCGGUGUUCGGCUCCCAUGACGGAGGCGACUUGGUGUUCUGCGCCAUCAUCAUCUGGCUCUCCGUCAUCGCCAUGACCAUCUUCUCAUCCGUCGACCAUCCAAGCGAGCAGUCGAAGAAGCGGUCCGGCCUCAGCCGGCUGGUCCUCCUAGAGGAGAAAGGUGGCCGCUGCGCCUGCUGCAUCGGUGGCGCCGGCGUCUGCGGCACCUAUCUGUCUUGAUUUGGUCUCUUUUGGAGGAUCCCAUGUACGUACGAUGCAGCAGCUGUAAUAAAGAAAGAGCUAAUUUGUUUUAGCCUUCGAUGUAUCUGCUCAAUUUCUUCUUCUUCUUCUUCUUUCAUGCUUUUGCUCUUUCACUGUGAAUAAGAGAAGUUGAGACACAAGUUUGAUGCUUCUUCCAUCCUUGCUUUCGAUGGCAGCAAAUGGAAAUCAUGUUAUGGAGUACAAAACCAGCAUCCGAUUCUUUUCCCCAUGUCCACCUUAUCUAUUUAGAAGAUGUAAAGCUUAAGAUGCUUUACAUCUUUUGAAGAACAGCUACAUAUUCCUCAGCAAACCUCAUAAACAGUGUGACAUCAGAAGAUAAAUCAUUAGAAUAGGAUGUAUUGGUAAUCCAUUCCUUAUUUCUACUCAGAACACAAGGAAGAAAGAGGAAAACUUGAUGUACAGCAACCAGAAAUAGUUCCUAUCCUGUUCACCUUAUCAUCAAGAUUAUCUGCAUCACUGGUGUCCUUGAAUCCAAGUCAUGCUUAUCCAUCAAAAAGUUCAAUUAGACUAAUAUACAUACUCAACUGCCAAGAAGUAUGCAGUCUACCUACCAUGCUAAUAAUAGUACCUUUCCCACAGUUUUCUUUAGCAGUCUGGUAGCAAGUCAUUAGCAGAGCAGGUUGGGACCAAUCCAAGGCUCUGUAGUAUAUUCAUGAUCACAAGAAAAAUACUAGUGCUCAUCACCUAGAAUAAUUGAAGACCUUUAAUUCCAUUAUGCACUUUUGUCUCUAGAACUAAGCAUAUUCCUAAAUCAUUAGUAGGUAAGGUUAAAAACCAAGGCAAACUUAGUGACACUUAUGCUUUCAUAUAUGCUCAUUUGGGGCAAGAAACAAGUAGUCUAUUAUUCUCUUCAUAUAUCUUCCCUAUGAAGUUUUCAGCAGAAGAUUGACUUUUAUUAGGUGGAGUAAAUCUUUCUAAGUUUGUCAAACAUCAGCCAGACAUGAUUUAAGCACAGAGAUUUCAAGAUCAUAUUCCAGUAUUAUAUGUUGCCCAAGGUAUUCACAGAUGCACUCAGAAAUGAACCAUUUGUGCUCAAAGUUUCUGAUCUCAAUUCUCAUUUAGUAGGUAACAUUCGGAUAUCUCAACCUUAAAAAUUGGAAUAUGGAUCAACGAGUAGGUACUAGUAAAACUAAUGAGAAACAAAUGAUUCUAACUAAGCAUCUUCUUACAAAUGGGGAGUUCAGCACCAUGGUUGACAGUAUGAACUCUUUGCUGAAUUGUGAUUUCAUGACUGAAACCAAGAAAAGCAUGCAGAUUUGAAAUGAUAAGCAUCCAAUCUAUAUAUAG
rnacentral:lncRNA from 1 species